rnacentral:rRNA from 1 species
GACGAACGCUGGCGGCGUGCCUAAUACAUGCAAGUUGAGCGAUGAAGAUUGGUGCUUGCACCAAUUUGAAGAGCAGCGAACGGGUGAGUAACGCGUGGGGAAUCUGCCUUUGAGCGGGGGACAACAUUUGGAAACGAAUGCUAAUACCGCAUAACAACUUUAAACAUAAGUUUUAAGUUUGAAAGAUGCAAUUGCAUCACUCAAAGAUGAUCCCGCGUUGUAUUAGCUAGUUGGUGAGGUAAAGGCUCACCAAGGCGAUGAUACAUAGCCGACCUGAGAGGGUGCUCGGCCGCAUUGGGACUGAGACACGGCCCAAACUCCUACGGGAGGCAGCAGUAGGGAAUCUUCGGCAAUGGACGAAAGUCUGACCGAGCAACGCCGCGUGAGUGAAGAAGGUUUUCGGAUCGUAAAACUCUGUUGGUAGAGAAGAACGUUGGUGAGAGUGGAAAGCUCAUCAAGUGACGGUAACUACCCAGAAAGGGACGGCUAACUACGUG